AUUUUGCACAAUGGGCGAAAGCCUGAUGCAGCAACGCCGCGUGUGUGAUGAAGGUCUUCGGAUUGUAAAGCACUUUCGACCGGGACGAAAACCGGAUGGCUAACAUCCAUCCGCUUGACGGUACCGGGAGAAGAAGCACCGGCUAACUCUGUGCCAGCAGCCGCGGUAAUACAGAGGGUGCAAGCGUUGUUCGGAAUUAUUGGGCGUAAAGCGCGUGUAGGCGGCUUGGCAAGUCGGGUGUGAAAGCCCUCAGCUUAACUGAGGAAGUGCGCCCGAAACUGCUUUGCUUGAGUGCUGGAGAGGGUCGCGGAAUUCCCCAAGUAGAGGUGAAAUUCGUAGAUAUGGGGAGGAACACCGGUGGCGAAGGCGGCGACCUGGACAGUAACUGACGCUGAGACGCGAAAGCGUGGGUAGCAAACAGG
rnacentral:rRNA from 1 species